rnacentral:rRNA from 1 species
UACGUAGGGAGCAAGCGUUGUCCGGAAUCAUUGGGCGUAAAGCGCGCGUAGGUGGCUCCAUAAGUCCGUUGUGAAAGUCAAAGGCUCAACCUUUGAAAGCCGAUGGAUACUGUGGAGCUAGAGUACGGAAGAGGCGAGUGGAAUUCCUGGUGUAGCGGUGGAAUGCGCAGAUAUCAGGAGGAACACCAAUAGCGAAGGCAGCUCGCUGGGACGUUACUGACACUCAGGCACGAAAGCGUGGGGAGCAAAAGGG